rnacentral:rRNA from 1 species
GACGAACGCUGGCGGCGUGCCUAAUACAUGCAAGUAGAACGCAGUUGCGAACGGGUGAGUAACGCGUAGGUAACUGCCUCAUAGCGGGGGAUAACUAUUGGAACCGAUAGCUAAUACCGAAUACUUGUAGAUGGACCUGCGUUGUAUUAGCUAGUUAGUGAGGUAAAGGCUCACCACGGCGAGGAGACAUAGCCGGCCUGAGAGGGUGAUCGGCCAACUGGGGACUGAGACACGGCUCAGACUCCUACUGGAGGCAGCAGUAGGGGAUCUUCGGAAAUGGGCGGAAGUCUGACCGAGCAACGCCGCGGGAGUGAAGAAGGUGUUCGGAUCGUAAAGCUCUGUUGUUAGAGAAGCGGUAACUGAACAGAAAGGGACGGCUAACUACGUGCCAGCAGCCGCGGUAAUAC